rnacentral:rRNA from 1 species
UACGAAGGGUGCAAGCGUUAAUCGGAAUUACUGGGCGUAAAGCGUGCGUAGGCGGUUUGUUAAGUCUGUUGUGAAAUCCCCGGGCUCAACCUGGGAAUGGCAAUGGAUACUGGCAAGCUAGAGUGUGUCAGAGGAUGGUGGAAUUCCCGGUGUAGCGGUGAAAUGCGUAGAGAUCGGGAGGAACAUCAGUGGCGAAGGCGGCCACCUGGGACAACACUGACGCUGAAGCACGAAAGCGUGGGGAGCAAACAGG